rnacentral:rRNA from 1 species
UACGUAGGGCGCAAGCGUUAUCCGGAAUUAUUGGGCGUAAAGAGCUCGUAGGCGGUUUGUCGCGUCUGCCGUGAAAGUCCGGGGCUCAACUCCGGAUCUGCGGUGGGUACGGGCAGACUAGAGUGAUGUAGGGGAGACUGGAAUUCCUGGUGUAGCGGUGAAAUGCGUAGAUAUCGGGGAAGAACACCAGUGGCGAAAGCGCUCUACUGGGCCAUAACUGACACUGAGGCGCGAAAGCGUGGGGAGCAACAGG